AUACAGGCCAGCUGUUGCCUAGCAACAUGAGACCAGCUAAUAAGGAGAAGUUGGAGGCUUAUUUUCCUAGACUGCAGAUGGACUCUAAAUAAGGAAGUUAAGUUUUAUGUGCCUUCUUGUGAUGAAGAUGGAUCCUCACACUUAUACUGUGCUUUAAGGUACUGAGGAAAGGCCAUGUGGGCAGGCAGCAAGAAGGCAGCCAUCUGGAAGCUAGGAAGAAAAUCCUUACCAGAACCCAACCAUUUUGGCACCCUAAUCUCAGACUUCCAGCCUCCUCGAAGAAAAUAAACUGCUGAACACCAUGUGGAAGCUGCUAAGGCUUAUGGCUUACAUUCUUUGAGGCAGUGACCUGACAUGUAACUGGAUCCCGUUUAGCCAUGGUUGAAGUUGGAUACUCCUUGCUCCUCAGAUUGCAGACGGCCUAUUGUGGGACCUUGUGAUCAUCAAGGCAAGAAGGCCUGACACGUUCAAUGUGCUCUAACCUCCUGCCAAGUAGUGUGCAAGGUUCAAGAGAUGGAAAAUUGGAAGCGAAAGUCCUUGGAGAAGCUCUCAUUCAACUGAAAGCAAAUAUGGAACAGAUAAGAAGGCAAGAAAAGGAUCAUCACAAAUAUAGCCUGACUGGAUGCUGUUUAGAGCAGUAGCUAUUCUAUAUCCUCACAUUCUCAGGUUCUAUAAUCUGAAAAUAGCUAAAUAAAAAUAAUAGCUGAGCCCAAACCACUGAGGUUGGUGUCAAUUCUUUCAUUACAAGAAACUAUCUCAGGGGCUGUUGAAUAAAAAUAAUGAUUUUAUUUUAUUCCCCCCCCAAACCCAUUAAAACACUAAUAAAGGGAAUUUUAAAAUAUACAAACUCAAAAAAAGAUGUGAAGGAUUGUAGAAAAGAGAAUAGCAACAAAAGUUUGGACCAAAAGAAAAUAAAUAAGUGAAUUUAAAAGACCCCCCCCACCCACCUACCCCAAAUAAAUUCUAUAUUCAU
rnacentral:lncRNA from 1 species